rnacentral:rRNA from 1 species
UACAGAGGUCCCGAGCGUUGUUCGGAUUCACUGGGCGUAAAGGGUGCGUAGGUGGCUUGAAAAGUUUGAUGUGAAAGCUCAGGGCUUAACCCUGAAAUGGCAUUGAAAACUGUCGGGCUGGAGGUUUGGAGGGGGGACUGGAAUUCUUGGUGUAGCAGUGAAAUGCGUAGAUAUCAGGAGGAACACCAAUGGCGAAGGCAGCUCGCUGGAACGGUACUGACGCUGAGGCGCGAAAGCGUGGGGAGCAAACAGG